AACAUCUAAGUACCCCGAGGAAAAGAAAUCAACCGAGAUUCCCCCAGUAGCGGCGAGCGAACGGGGAGGAGCCCAGAGCCUGAAUCAGCAUGUGUGUUAGUGGAAGCGUCUGGAAAGGCGCGCGAUACAGGGUGACAGCCCCGUACACAAAAGCGCAUGUGCUGUGAGCUCGAUGAGUAGGGCGGGACACGUGGUAUCCUGUCUGAAUAUGGGGGGACCAUCCUCCAAGGCUAAAUACUCCUGACUGACCGAUAGUGAACCAGUACCGUGAGGGAAAGGCGAAAAGAACCCCGGCGAGGGGAGUGAAAAAGAACCUGAAACCGUGUACGUACAAGCAGUGGGAGCACAGGUUUACCUGUGUGACUGCGUACCUUUUGUAUAAUGGGUCAGCGACUUAUAUUCUGUAGCAAGGUUAACCGUAUA
rnacentral:rRNA from 1 species